AAAUUGAAGAGUUUGAUCAUGGCUCAGAUUGAACGCUGGCGGCAGGCCUAACACAUGCAAGUCGAACGGUAACAGGAAGCAGCUUGCUGCUUCGCUGACGAGUGGCGGACGGGUGAGUAAUGUCUGGGAAACUGCCUGAUGGAGGGGGAUAACUACUGGAAACGGUAGCUAAUACCGCAUAAUGUCGCAAGACCAAAGAGGGGGACCUUCGGGCCUCUUGUCAUCGGAUGUGCCCAGAUGGGAUUAGCUUGUUGGUGGGGUAACGGCUCACCAAGGCGACGAUCCCUAGCUGGUCUGAGAGGAUGACCAGCCACACUGGAACUGAGACACGGUCCAGACUCCUACGGGAGGCAGCAGUGGGGAAUAUUGCACAAUGGGCGCAAGCCUGAUGCAGCCAUGCCGCGUGUAUGAAGAAGGCCUUCGGGUUGUAAAGUACUUUCAGCGGGGAGGAAGGGAGUAAAGUUAAUACCUUUGCUCAUUGACGUUACCC
rnacentral:rRNA from 1 species